GAGUAAUGUCUGGGAAACUGCCCGAUGGAGGGGGAUAACUACUGGAAACGGUAGCUAAUACCGCAUAACGUCUUCGGACCAAAGUGGGGGACCUUCGGGCCUCACACCAUCGGAUGUGCCCAGAUGGGAUUAGCUAGUAGGUGGGGUAAUGGCUCACCUAGGCGACGAUCCCUAGCUGGUCUGAGAGGAUGACCAGCCACACUGGAACUGAGACACGGUCCAGACUCCUACGGGAGGCAGCAGUGGGGAAUAUUGCACAAUGGGCGCAAGCCUGAUGCAGCCAUGCCGCGUGUAUGAAGAAGGCCUUCGGGUUGUAAAGUACUUUCAGUGGGGAGGAAGGCGAUGUGGUUAAUAACCGCAUCGAUUGACGUUACCCGCAGAAGAAGCACCGGCUAACUCCGUGCCAGCAGCCGCGGUAAUACGGAGGGUGCAAGCGUUAAUCGGAAUUACUGGGCGUAAAGCGCACGCAGGCGGUCUGUCAAGUCGGAUGUGAAAUCCCCGGGCUCAACCUGGGAACUGCAUUCGAAACUGGCAGGCUAGAGUCUUGUAGAGGGGGGUAGAAUUCCAGGUGUAGCGGUGAAAUGCGUAGAGAUCUGGAGGAAUACCGGUG
rnacentral:rRNA from 1 species